rnacentral:rRNA from 1 species
CAGUAGCCGCGGUAAUACGGAGGGUGCAAGCGUUAAUCGGAAUUACUGGGCGUAAAGCGCACGCAGGCGGUCUGACAAGUCAGAUGUGAAAUCCCCGGGCUUAACCUGGGAACUGCAUUUGAAACUGUCAGGCUGGAGUCUUGUAGAGGGGGGUGGAAUUCCAGGUGUAGCGGUGAAAUGCGUAGAGAUCUGGAGGAAUACCGGUGGCGAAGGCGGCCCCCUGGACAAAGACUGACGCUCAAGUGCGAAAGCGUGGGGAGCAAACAGGAUUAGAUACCCGAGUAGUCCCUGUCUCUUAUAA